UGUGCUGCAUAUAGAUAGACCAAGGCCGUCACUGUUGCUAACAUGCAACUCUGUUGAAUAGAAAUUGGAAUUGCACUUUAGCAAUGGUGAUGGACCUGUGUCAGUGGCCACUUACUUGGA
rnacentral:pre_miRNA from 7 species